CGGGAUGUAGCGCAGCUGGUAGCGCAUCUGGUUUGGGACCAGAGGGUCGCUGGUUCGAAUCCAGUCAUCCCGA
rnacentral:tRNA from 1 species